rnacentral:lncRNA from 1 species
AAAACAUCAAUGUAAUUAUGGUGCUAUUAAUGUGUUCAUAUCUUCCAGGUAUACAAGUCUGUAAGGUAGAAGCUUCAAAAGAACAUUAUAUCAAGCUGGUAUUCUAAAGUUGUAUGGUAAUUUUAGGCUUAAAAAAAACAUGUUGGAGAUUUAUUCAUAUCAUUUGUGUUCUACAACUGGACUUGUUAUCAAUAAGAUAUGUACGGUUCCAUGUUACUUUCUACUCUAAGAUACAAUUUAUGUAUUUUUAAGUUAAUGAGAGCCUAAUCUGUGUGGUUUUAUUGUAAAACACCAAAGUACUUUGCUACUUUUCUACAAAAGGUUAAAAGCUUUCAGCCUUUAAUUCAUGUUUUAGGUGUGAUAUUAUGUUGUGUUAGCUAAUGUUCAUGUAAACUUGAACAACAAUUUAUGUAAACUUUGUAAAAUGAUCAGCUUCAGAACUAUAGUACUUGAGAUUUAUAAAGAGCCCUGCCUUACUUGAGAUAAGGCUCUGUCUCAUCUCACUACAUGUGAAAGUGGCUAUGAAAGAAGUAAGCCAGAUUUCAGUACAGUUAAAGUUGUGUCCAAAAGUAGGUUUUUGCCAAGAUUACUAGGAUCUCAAAUAGGGAAUUAUGAUGUAUAACCCUGCCAGAAUUCAAGGUAGCUAUUAUGUAAGCUAAAUAUGUUUUUACCCUAGUUAGUUUUGUUUUGUUGUUUGCUUAUAGAUGGUUUAAGGAUUGCCUGUUAAUGUUUUAAAGAGGUACUGCUUUAAGAACUCACAACCUGGGUCAACUUAAGAUAAGGAGUUAUCACCUACAGGAUAGAGACAUAGACAUUAAAGCCCAGUGCUCUUAAUAGAAGGCUGUUAACUUAUUUGCUGGAUGUUUAAGAUUAAGUUUUAAAAUUAAAAAUUUGGCUCUUGCCCUCUGAGUCAGUCUGAAUCAGGGAAUAGGGGACUUCUCCAAAGGGCUCUGCAACUCUAGGCCACAUAACCUCCUGAGCAGGGAGAUUAAGGAGACCAGUGGAGGGCAGAAAGCCAAUCGGUACAUUUGCUGUGAAGAGGAGGGUCAUCAGAAAGGGGAGACAUCCCUGAUGCUUCCUAGGGAAGCCACAUGGUCAAGCAAGGCCUGGACCCAUCCUAAGGUAAAUGGCACUAGCAGAACUGAGAAGCUGCUAUGAAGUUCCCCGAGGACUCCCAGGGAAACUCAGCUGACUGUUGACAAUAGAUAAGAACAAAAGUCAGUUUGACUUGCUUCAUCUUAAACACUUAGCAAAGACAGUUAAAGCCAAAGCACAGUUGUUCCUGGACAUUUUAAAUGAUAAUAAUAAUUAAAUGUAACUUCCAAAAAUAAGUAAACUGGAGGCUACAAAAGAGAUUCUCAGACAGGAAUGUCUGAUAACUAUUAAAAGGAACUGCCAGAGUAGCUUUUAGUUUAAGGCCCACAGAUAUUCCUAACCUACACAGGUAGGCUUGGUGUUUGCUAGUAUGGUUAUCCAGCCCUAAGCAGCAAAAUUAAAGGUUUCUCUAUUAGACAUAGGUCAUACUAGUAAAAAGGACAUCUGUAAACCUAAAUGUUAGUUGUUGUGUUUACAUCCCUGACAUUUCUGGCAAGGUGACAAAUAUCCUUAAAGAUUUACAUGCUUAGAUAGAACCCAUGUCCUCAGCAACUUUGUCAUGGAAACAAUAUCUUAGUUCCUAGUUCUUGGUACUUCCUGGUGGAAAACAUUGUUAGUCUUUGUCAUCAUACUCAUUGGCAUAUUCCUGUGCUAUGGCAUUUAUUGCUGCAUCAAUAUGGUUCCAGUACUAAUGAAUUCUUGUUUCUCUUAUAGACCAUCCAUCACUCAAAUGGCCCUCCAGACUAUUACUUCUCAAUCAGACUUCUAUCAUGGACCACUUGAUAGACCCGAUUUUUAAAGGGGGACUCCAAACUGCUUGCCCCACAUCGUCCCUUUUCAGCCUGAAGAAGCCGAAAGAUCUUCUUCGCCCCCCUUCCUCACAGCAGUAAGGAGUUCCCAAAUUAGAGGGGGGAAUGAAGCCAGAUUUUAAGUUAGGUAGUCAGUGUAGUUAGAUAAAUCGGGGUCUAAUACCGAGUGAAAUCUAAAAUGGAGGCCAUGCUGAAAAUGAUUCCAGGGAACGCAAAACAACUCAUGAAAUGUAAAACCCUUCAAUAAUCGUGAUGCAUUACUUUUAAGAUUAAAAGUAGUCAGAAAAAGGAGUGGGGAAUGUAAGGGUAAAAGAAAUUGAAGUUAAAGCAUAAAAGUUAAAGGGUAAAAGACCGGGUGUUGUAAAAGUUUCUAAGCUGCAAGGUCUGAGUUAGCUGUUACGACAAUGCUUAGAACCGCCCAGUAAACAUUUCCCCUGAUUGUCUGGUUAUUU